GAUCCUGGCUCAGGAUGAACGCUGGCGGCGUGCCUAACACAUGCAAGUCGAACGAAGCUCUUACGACAGAACUCUUCGGAGGGAAGAUGUAAAAGACUGAGUGGCGGACGGGUGAGUAACGCGUGGGUAACCUGCCCUAUACAGGGGGACAACAGUUGGAAACGACUGCUAAUACCGCAUAAGCGCACAGUACCGCAUGGUACAGAGCGAAAAACUCCGGUGGUAUAGGAUGGGCCCGCGU
rnacentral:rRNA from 1 species